UAGGGAAUCUUCGGCAAUGGGGGGAACCCUGACCGGGCAACGCCGCGUGAGUGAAGAAGGUUUUCGGAUCGUAAAGCUCUGUUGUUAAGGAAGAACGAGUGUGAGAAUGGAAAGUUCAUACUGUGACGGUACUUAACCAGAAAGGGACGGCUAACUACGUGCCAGCAGCCGCGGUAAUACGUAGGUCCCGAGCGUUGUCCGGAUUUAUUGGGCGUAAAGCGAGCGCAGGCGGUUAGAAAAGUCUGAAGUGAAAGGCAGUGGCUCAACCAUUGUAGGCUUUGGAAACUGUUUAACUUGAGUGCAGAAGGGGAGAGUGGAAUUCCAUGUGUAGCGGUGAAAUGCGUAGAUAUAUGGAGGAACACCGGUGGCGAAAGCGGCUCUCUGGUCUGUAACUGACGCUGAGGCUCGAAAGCGUGGGGAGCGAACAGG
rnacentral:rRNA from 1 species